rnacentral:lncRNA from 1 species
AGUAUUUUCAUGGCACCGGAUCCAAUCCUUCCUCUUCAGUCAAAAGCGCUUUUAUCGUAGUUGUCACUAGCAACAGAAACCAUGGUCUUUAAUCAAUCCUUCCAACACUGCUGUGUGGGAAGGGAUGUUGCGUCAGGGAAGCCUGUUGAUUGCUUACUCCUUAUGGACAUAUGUGAUGCUGUUAAAUGGACAUGCUGGAAUCAGGCUUUUUUGAGAGUCAGUUUCCUGUUGUUUCCACAUGAAGACAGAGAAAUUCAUGUCUUCGAGAAGAAUGGGCCACUGAGAAUUAUGGUAGGAAAAAAAAAUAUUAGGCUGAAAUGUCCAUAAAUAAAAUAUUUUGUUAGAAAAAAUGAGGGAAAAAAUUAAAUCAGACAGAAGUGGUCUAAAAGUAAAGCCUUCCAGGAAGGUCAAAACCUCUACUGUCAGAGAAGAAAUAUGCAGUAGUCAGAGAUGAAGAUAUGCUGCCCCCAUAUUGCAUAGCUCCAGCUUGUCAUUCUCAGAAACCCACUCCUGGCUGUCUCAAGGGUUAUUCUAGUACAUCCUCAGUUUAUUUCAGUGUGACCUGAUGUGAAUACGUACUUGCAUCUUUAUCAUGUCCUGUAGUGAAUUUAGGGGAAGAGAAAAUUUGUUAAAAGUCUAUCUUAAAAAAAAUAACUGCUCUAUGUGGCAGUUGUUGGAAUUAUUUCACUGAAUAUUCCGUAUCACAAGAACAGUAAGGGCGUCUUUAUUUCCUCAUUUGAAACUUAAUACUGCUUCUUGAAAUCAUGUAAUGUAGUAUGCUGCUGUAUGCAUGUUCUGCCAGAUAAAGUUCAUGAUCCUCUACAGAACUGUUCAGUUUUCCUUUAAAACCAGACAAGAGGCUGUUAAGCUUCAUUCAUAGCACUAUAUUUCACUGGGCUGUCAUUAAUUCUUGAAUUCUCAGUAAUAUCAAAGGGUAAUAUUUUGUGUGUUACAUAGCUACAGUUGACAUCGGUUCUUCAACACAUGAAAGAAAAAGGAGAAAAGAUGGUGUGGUGUGUUUAAUUUUCUCUCUGUUAUCACUGUUGUGGGUUUUUGGAAUUCAACGAGAACUGGAAGUAGCUGUUAGAUAAAUGGGAGAGAUAUAUGCACAAUUAAUCCCUGAAAUUUUAGAGGACUGUCCUGUCUCAUCUGCCAAUGAGUUUUUUUUUGUUUGUUUGUUUUUGUUUUUUCAGCCACUGAUAUUCCCCAAAAUUCCCACUUGGAAGAACUAGCUCAUCUUGCCUCUGGGUGUACAGUGUUAAGCUGCAUUUGAAAGUGGUUGUUGGUUGUCUUAUCAGUAGACGAUGGGUAUACACAAGAAGAUACC